UACGAAGGGGACUAGCGUUGUUCGGAAUCACUGGGCGUAAAGCGCACGUAGGCGGAUUCGUAAGUCAGGGGUGAAAUCCCGGGGGCUCAACCUCGGAACUGCCUUUGAUACUGCGGGUCUUGAGUCCGAUAGAGGUGGGUGGAAUUCCUAGUGUAGAGGUGAAAUUCGUAGAUAUUAGGAAGAACACCGGUGGCGAAGGCGGCCCACUGGAUCGGUACUGACGCUGAGGUGCGAAAGCGUGGGGAGCAAACUGG
rnacentral:rRNA from 1 species